rnacentral:lncRNA from 1 species
UUUUUUUUUUUUUUUUUUUUUGCCAUGUGUACUAAUAUUCCGUGUUAAACUACUGGAAUGGUUUAUUGCCUUAAUUUAAAUUGUUGCAGUUAUGACUGACAGCAUUCGUAUACAAUCCUAUCUCCUUGAACUGAAGGCAGAUGUUUGGGACUGGAUUCUAAAAAGAGUUUUCAAAUAAUUUGAGAUAUGCAUGCUUAGGUGGAAUUCAGGGCAUCCUGGGAUACCUGAGAUAUCUGUCCAUGGUUAAUACAUCUUCUAUUCUGAACUGGCAGCUGGAAUUCAGGCAAGAUACUUUAGCAUACCUUAAGUGUUACAGAUGAUUAUGUUAAAGCCUUUUAAGUGUUCCCUAGCUGAAACGUAACAGCUGUAUUGUGAGCACAUGAAUUUACACUUCGCAGUCUGUAACUGAAUUGCCACUUCUAAGGUUGGGUGAGUUAAAUCACAGCUAAGCUAUUUGACUUUUAUAUUGCUGGAGAUAAGUGUGAUGAAUCUCACACUUGUGAAUAACAUUCUGAGGAUGGAAGUUUCAAUUAAAAAUAAGAACACACAUAUAAAAGAAGGCAGCCAAAGAGUAUCCUUCAAAUAUCUUUUUCCAUGGUCAAAUCACAUUUUAUUAAAAGAAAACCAGAAUAUUUUAGACAAUACACAAAAUUGAUUAUUUUUAAAAAUGUUUGCUGCUGUAUUGGGACACAGACUGAUCUAUAUAUUUACUUUUAAAUUUUUACAUAAUUUUAAUAUUCAAUCUUACAUUACUUCAAAUCAAAAAGGAGGAUAAUAUCCUAAUAAUAACAAUGGCAACAAUAAAAAUGAGGCUUUUUUUAUUUUCCUGUUUUCCAAGAGUGUUUCUCUAUUGGUUUCAGGAGGACAUCCUCAAUUUAGUAUCACAGAAAUAGAUAAGAAUAAACCAAAGAAUAUCAGCCAAUUUACUUUCAAUAUACUUUCAUAAUUUACUUUCAAUGGUAAAUUAAUUAUGAAAUAAAAUAAAAAUAUAUGCAAUAUUGUCUCAAAUAAACAUGUAAUUUUUUUUUUUGUUUUACUAAUAUCUGUCCAAAAAAGAUCAGUGAAUACAGGAGAAAGAUGAAAGUAAUUAAAUCCAAUUCCUUCUUAGAAAAGUAGCCCUAUUAAUUACAUCAGUUGUGACUGAAAGUUAGAAGCCACGGACUUUGCUCUAGUAUCUGAGUUUGUAGAAUGAGUCUAGUUCUAGUUAGAAUCCACAAAAUACACAGAUCAAUAUAACCACAAUUGACACUAAUUGACAAGUCAAACUGACAGUAUUAAGACAGAGGUCAAGAAACCAGAUACUAACUCUUUUUUUCCUCUCCCUUCCCUCACUAUGACGAAUGGGUUCUGACAAAAGUUCUAACUUUCUGAAAACAUGGGUUAUAUUAAUCAGAUAAAUAGAUAUGCCUAUUAAGAUUUUUUCUUCAUUCAGUUGUGAAGAUGAAUUUCAAUGUACUCCUGAUGAAAUUCUCACAGCUCCAGCAUAGAGUUCUCAUGCUGAGCAAGCCACCUUUGUCUUUCUGUAUAGUCAGUGGGGAGAAUAUGUAACUAUUCCUGUUUAUGUGACAUUUUGGGAUGUGAAGAACAUUUCAGCUGUAAACAUAGACAACAAAUUUAGCUAACUAAAUAAUGUCAUAUGGGUGUAAACUGUUGUGUCUAAACUCUUACUACAGUCAUCAAAGGAACAGCCAUUGUAGAGAAUAGAGAAAAUAGAGAAUAGAUAAUAGAGGAUAAAAUAGAGAAUAAAAAAUAGAGAGUGUCUCAGAUAAUUUUGAACAGAACUUAACACAAAACUCAACUUUUAAAUGUAGUAUUAUUGUUGGGUUUCCUGGAGUAUUCAACAUGACCUCUAGCUGCUACUUGAGAAGGUUACAGUUCUUUUAGAGGUCCUGGAUGUCUGAGAUAUUCUAAGACAUUUCAAACCUGCUGUUUAUGCUUUGGCCAAGAUUAACUUUUUCAUUGACUGUAUGUGGAACUUCAAUCCUUAGUUCACAUUUGGACACCUAUGUUUGUAAGUCUGAAUCUCUAAAUAAGCCUUAUCCAUAUUUAGAGAGAGAUAAAGCAUGUUUUUAAAGUUUUAUUUCUUUCCAUUCACUCUAACAGGAAUCUAGGGCACCUAGUCUAAAUAUAUGACUACAACCAUAAACAGCUGCAUUUCCUCCAAUUAAUUCCACACUUUGAGUCUUUGGCUUGGACCAUCUAUUCCUUUGCUGUAAAAUAACAGUGUGUCUGUGACCUACCUGAAUGGAGAGAGGAAGAUUCAGGUGUCUGAAAUCACCGUCUUACCCCUUGCCUCAGCAGCAUGGAAUUCUGGAAAAUACAAGCCUCAUAACCAUCUGAGCUCUCAGACCCCCAGGGAACCUUUCCUCACUUCAAAAGUCUGUCCCAAUCAAGAAAUGGCCCUAUUGAGCACAGCCAUCCUUACUCUGGAUUAAUCUUGGUGGAGGAGGAGUCAGGGUGGGAAGGAGGAAUAAUAUAGAAGUUUUAGCUCUUAAUAUCUCUGAGUUAUUAAAAGAACAAAUUAAUUCAUGAAAAUACCUGGAAAUUGUUUCCUGUCUUAGGAAGAGCUCUUAUAUGCAGAAAUGUCAUGUUAAUUCUAAAGAAAUCAUGCCAAUGGCUGAUAAUGAGAGAAUUCUUUUGCUUCUUUAUUGCAUCCUUAUAGUAUUUAUUGCACAAAAUUGCAUGUUAUUACCCAAAAUUCCGUGCUGAAGAAAAUGUUGAAAAUUCCUUCUGAUACUAAUAUUGAAGUUAUAAGAAGGAUUAGUAGAGAUCUCAGUAGACUUGAGCACAAAUUGUUUAGAGGAGUCAAAUCUGAUAAGAAAGUUCCUUUGCAUGAUUCAGAAACAAAUUGUAAAAAACAUUUUUAAGUCAAAGUCACUAGAAAUAUCUUCAGAUUUAUAGUAAUUAACGAUAUGCCCUGUUAUCUUCUGUCAGAUUUAAAAGAUUGCAAGAAUCAGAGUUAAAAUGAAAAUGAAUUUGUUUAAGUUAUUUAGCUUUAGAAAUACUAGUGAUUGUUUUAAAUAAAGGCAGUCAUUUGCCUUCUGUCUCUCAUGAAUAAGGCUGUACAACAUAACCACUAUACAUAAUUUAUAGAUAAUGAUUUGGAAAAAAAUCAACUCCCCAAAAGUCUGCAUUGAAAUGUAAUUUUUGUUUGAAGAAAUGUCUGAGAAGGGUGAAGCAGAAUGAGGAAUUUCAUGCUGGAUUUUUCACUACAUUAGGCAGCCUGUGUGCGGCAAACAAAAACAUCUCAAGUUUUUAUUCCUAAAUGAAUCUGAUUCCUGGUAAAUUAUGCAUAUGAACAUAGUUCUGUAAGCAAGUUUUAAUUAUUUUUCAUGUUAAUAUAAUACUUCAAACCAGAUAUUGUACCUGACUAUUAUCAUGACACUAUCUCAUCAGAUUCAUUGUGUUACUAGAAUUUUCACUGAAUUGCCCUAUAGAAUGGUAGAACAGUUUCAAUUUAUUAAUUUUUCUCUUAUUUCUCCAUUAGAGUAAAGUUUCAAGCUUAAAACUUUACAUAUUUUAAACCUUAUUAUCAUAUAAUUUGUGUAACAAGCUAUUUGUAAACUGGGUAGAUCCAGUUUAAACCAGAUGUUACAUUUCUACCUGUUUCCCAGUAUUUUGAAAUAGUCAUGUAGAAUACCAAUUGAAACUUAUAGAUGAGUCUUCAAAAAUAUGGAGGAACAUUUUCAACAGGCAUUGAACUAUCAAAGUCAACAGGAUAAUAAUGUAUUAAUGCCCAACCCAGGAGCUGCUUUACAAAAUGGAAAUUUUUAUUUUGUACUCCAAGUUUGAGCGGAGUCUGAAUUUUCAGACCACAUGCAUAGGCAAGACUAAUUCAAAAGCACUGUCACUUCAGCACAUCUAUAUAAUAGAAAAUCAUCUCAAAUAAAUACAGAGUUUCAACUCAAAGCAGCAAUAAGAUUGGUAGUAGAAUGGAAAAAGGCAAACAAAUGGCUUUGUAUUCAAGUUAAAAAAAAUUAAAAUUAAUACUUUUUAAAUUGCCAGACACUUGAAGCAGGAUUUAAAUUCUUCCGAUCACUUUCUUCCUACUGAUCUUUACAUAAGAAUGUUGUUUGGCAUGCGUUUAGUGUAUCACACAUCCACCCACACAUAAAAUAUGGUAAUCUGAUUUUACUUUGAUGUAUAGUUCUGUAAAUUUGGAUUCAAAUCAAGGAGUGUGAGACUCACUAAUAGUAGAAUUGACUUAUGCCUAUUUAUGGCAUUUUAUGUUAAUGGAAAAAUCAGUAUAAAUGAGGCCUAAUCAAAGUUAAGACUCUGGUUGCUUGGCUAUGUAAAUACCAUAUUCUGGUAUUCAUUGCAUAUUGAAAAAUUCCAUGUAUUCAGUGCAAGAAAUGCAGUAAUGAUGGACAAAUCUUUAACCAAUAGAUUCUGCUUUUAGUUAAUUCCCAGUGUUGAAUUAUAUUAAAAUAAUAUCUAGAACAUAUGUUUUGAAUUAGAGCUGGUAGUUAUGAAUAUUCUGGCUAUUGGAGAGAAGGGUGUGUUCUUUAGAAUCUAAGUUGCUGCUUCCUAUUUUGGGAACUGAAUAACUAUAUACAGCUAAAUUUUUUUUUUUCAUGCCAGAAUUAUGAAAUAAAACAACUAAAUUAGAACCCUAAUGUAUGUGCUUAACAUCAUUCAAGAUAUUUUAGGAUAACUGAGAAAUGUACAUAGUGAUGGCAGAUGUGAACAGGUCUGAAGGCAACUUUACAUCAUUCUUGAGGAAAGAUGGAGACCAGAGAUCACAUCCUAGGACACCUAAAAUGUCACUGACAGCUAUGUAAAUGCACUAGAAUGAGAAGGACACUGACACUAUUAUCAGUUUGUUAAAAAAGCCAGUCUCAAGUCCCUGAACAGCAAGAUCAGGACUGGGAGAAAGUGAUAAUUCCCAUGGUAGAAGAAGGUCCAGCUUGAGACCACCUGAGGAAUAUAAAUAUACACAGGUUUGUGGGAGCUGUUAAAGUGCAUCCCUCAGGUGGAUGAUAAGGGAACUGACUGAUGCAGUUGCCAAGCCACAUUGCUCUCAUUUUUAAAAAGUGCACCAAAGAGGACCUGAUCAGUUUAUCUCAUUUCUGUGCCUGCUAAAACCAUGAAGCACAACCUCCUGGAAAGUAUAUAGAAACACAUGGAAAACACAGAUACGAUUAGAGAAAGGAAAAAUUGUGCUUGACCAAGCAAUUAGCCUUCUAUGGUGGAAUGACUACAUCAGUGGACAGGGAAAGUGCUACUGUUGUCAUUCUGCCUGGACUUCUGUAAAGCCUUUGGUACCAUCCUCUUAUUACUAAAUGCAGAGGCAUGGGCUUGACAGAUGGACUGUUUGAUGGAUAAGGCAUUGGCUGAAUGGCCAUGUCCAAAGAGUUACAGUCAAUGGCUCAAUGUCCGAAAGCAAAACACAGCAGUGUCCUUCAAGGGUCCAUACUGGGGCCAAUACAAUUUAUUGUCUUUAGGAAUAAUAUGGACAGUGGGAUUGAAUGAACCCUCAGCAAAUUUGCAGAUAACACCAAGUUGACUGGUGCAGUUCAUAGGCCUGAAGGAAGGGAUGUCAUCCACAGAAACCUUGAGGAACAGGCCCAUGCGAACCUCAUGAAAAACAACCCUGAUCAUUGAAGCAGUGAUCUUUAAAGCUCCUUUCAAUACAAAACCCUAUGCUCUGAGAUCCCUACUCAGGACCUAAUAUUUUAAUAAUAAUUAGUUUAUCAAUUAAUCAAUAACAAUAAUAAAUUAGUGAUUAUUAUAAAAUACUAGAAAUAAAAAAAAGGAAAAAUUUAGGUAAGAAUGCUGCUUUUAACAUGCCUUAUUAAAUCACAAAAACCAGCCAUCAGAAGACAAGACAGCUAGAUGCUUGCACAGAAAAUUAGUAUAUUUUUUACAGCAUAAGAAAAAAAAUUAAAAAAUCAUUGAAAUUGAUUGUUUAGUUUUUGCAAAGAAAAAAAUAUGCUUAAUCUAGUGCAUUCUUUCUUGAUUAUAUGUUUGAGUCUGAGAAUGAAAACAAGGUAAUAGAGUUUUGGAAGAGCUUUUACAAAAUCAUCAAGAUUUGUGGCACAAGAAACCAGGAUGUAUUCAUACAGAUGGAAGUGAAUGGUUCUUAGCAAUUCACUGUCAGUUUAGAUGGAGCAAAUCUUCCACAGCAUGAACUUAUUCCAGAAGACCGAAAAUUUACAGAAAUGGUGGCUGUCUCUCCAUCUACCUAUCCUUUCCGGUUGGACACCACUAUUUGCAGAGGGCUAGUCUAUGCUCUUUUUGCCGUUCACUCAAUGCAAUGUGCUGGUGUGUUCUAGAAUGCCAUAGAAGUUCUUGAAAGGGAUGUUGGUAUUCUUGAACAUUGAAGGGGUAGAAUGAUGCUACGUCAAAAAAUAAAAGUCACAUUGAUACUUGUAUAUAUUGAAACCAGUUCUGCCAAGGUGACAAUCUAGUGUUGAAUAUGUGAAAGAAGUUAGAGCAAAUAAUGUAUUUUAAUUUUUAACCUUUAUUGGACACUUUUAUAGUAUUUUGUAGUUGCACAAGUGAAAAAGUAAAAUACAUUAAAAUAAUUUAAAAAUGUGAUAAUGCUAGAGGCUGGAUAACAUGGAUAUGUAACAUUUGAUGUAUUUUUCAAAAUAUUCACGAAAUAAUGAUAGUUUUAUUGUCUCAAAUAGUCAGCCAGAUUUUUCACUUUAAUUCAAAUAGUCUGUCCCAGAAAUAAUUUCUCCCAGCUAAACCAUGGCAUAUGUCUCAAUGGCAAGCAAAAUUUUUAACACAGAAAAGCAUUAAUUUUUAUUUUACAGACCUGCAAACAUAUGGGAAGAUUACAUUUUCAGCUGAAUUUCUGAAUUCAGCUAACCAGAGAGCUUCAUUUUAUAAUACGGAUUAUAAAUUGUGCUGGCAAUUAAUCUGUAAUGUGACUAAUCCUUUUUAUUAUCUUAAUAAAAAAUAAAAUAUGUUUCACAUUCUCAGUGGAAAAGCAUUUCAGGAGUUUUUAGCACAGGGACUCAGAAUGCUCAUGUGCAUUCUCCUACACUUAUCUACAAGUUAAUACCUUGAUCUUGCAAUAAAUGUCAUGCAGGGAGAACAUGGCUUUUAAUCCCUCAGCACAGCUAAAAACUUAUAUCUAUGAGGGCUUAUUUUAAAGGCAAGUGCUUUAUUUGAGUGCUUUUACAGCUGAGGAAAUAAGAAGAAACGCACAGCCAUGAACUCUUGAUUGAUACAGGCAAUAAUUUUCUUUUUGGCAGGAAAGUCUGUCAAGAAAAGCAAGUGUGUUUUCUUGGCAUUUAAUGACUACUUAAGUUGAAAAGUAGGUCAAAAGUAGCCAUGUCCUUCUGGCAAUUUCUUCACAAUCAUAAAACUGAAAGCUUACUGAAAUGAGUAGCAGGUAUUGGGCUAAUAUUUAUUUCUUGAGUUGGCUUAUUUUUUUAUAAGUUUCCUCUAUUUAUAUGCAUUGGAAUACUGCAUUUUUAAUAGGUAGUUAGCCGAAUUGAAGUUAAGCAGAUAAUAAUAUUGGCCAAAAUAUUGAAUAAAUUAUUGUUUUAGGAAUGGUAAAUAGACAUGUGUGGUUGUGAUUACGAGAAGAAAUGAGCAGACGCUGGCUCUGACAACUACUAGACAUUCCUCUUUCAAAGGUUCCAUGGUUGCAACCAUGGUUCCUCUUUCCAGGCUGGCAAAGCUCGGAAAAUUUACAGCUGACUACAGAUGGUAUUUCUACAAACAUGCCAAUAGCUAGGAAAAGCAAUGCAGAUAUGUUCUUGUAGCAAUCAAAUCUCUUUCUCUCUGAAAAAUACGGCACAGUAUAUAUUUUUCACAUGUUUUUGUUUAUAUCUACAUUUGAAUUCUUUAGUAAGUAAUUGAAAAAAAUCUGUUUGUUUCUUUAGUUAAAGACUAUCACAAGUAGAAUAUGAGAAACUUUUUUCAAAGAUUGAAUAUUUUUCACUUAAAUUGAAACUUUUUCUAAUACUAUGCAACUACUAUCUGUUACUUGAGCAUGAAGAGGUUUAAUUUGAUGCAACUGAUAGGAAGAAUUUACAUGCUUGUUGUAAAUAUGUCAUCUGUAGCUUAAAAUCUUCCAGAUGCCAUCAUUUCCUCUUCUGCUGCCGACACCAUUGGUAAAUGUAAUUUGCCUAUUUUGUUCACAGGAUAAACUUGAAAUAUUUUGAAUAAAUAUUGGUAGCUGCUGAUAAGUCAAUAUUUCUCCAGCAAGCUUGUACAUUUUUUUCCAUACAACCAAGUACCAAAAAUUGAAGUAGAUCAACUAAGGAUUUUUUCCCUAUUAAAAAUAAUAGUUUCCUCUACUGAAAAACAUCAGGUUCCCUUUUCACCUGUACCAUACUCACUUUCAGAAUGAUUUCAUAAUUUUAUGAAUCCUUUAUAUGCUUAGUUGAUAUUUUUGCCAGGACUUGGUUUCAUAUUCUCCCAUAAAUUUUUAAUACAUAUUUUAGAUAUACUAUCAAAAUGAAAUUUCUAGCUUUCAGCAGCUGAUGCAUUUUCCAGGACAGUGAUAAUACGCUGUUGUUUCCAACUUUUAAUGUACUUAUCUAUAAAUAUAAUUUCUAAAAUAGAAAAAUAUAUCAUCUUCGAUUCAAUUUGAGUGAUGGUUAUAUGUGACAUUUAGAAGGAAAGGACUGUGAAAUUUCACAGGCGUUUUUCUGCAAACCUGAGGUAUUCUAUUUACUAAGGUGGAGAAAUAUAUAUGCAGUAAAAGGCAAGAUAGGGCCAGUGAGGAGUAAAACCACAAUUUGUCAAAUAUUAGGUUUUAUUUGUAUGGCAUUUAAUUUUUUUACAACUUCUCUGCUUCUCUUCAGUCAUUCUCUAAAGGAAGGUUUUCAUUGCGUCUUAGUGUAUUGAUUUUUACUUAUACAAUGGAGCUAAUAGACUAUCAGAACUUAAUUUUGGUAAGUACAUGCAUGUAAAACUGUGAAGUUCUGAAAAAAUGGAAAAAACAAGAUGAAAUAGUACCUUCAAGAGAAUGAAUUCUUUGUUCCUAAGAAAAGUAAAAUUUUAAGGAAAGCAUUUAAAAAAAAUAGCAAUUUUCUAGGGUUCAGAAAUGAUGGAGGUUUUAAAAACUUGAUAUUUCAGAUAUGUAAAUAAUUGACCAGUAAUUUAUUUUUUAAUUGGAAAUCUACACCAAAAGGAUUAUUUUCUGUGAAAAUGUUGAUCAAUCAAUUUAAAGUAAUUAUGUAAGUCUCACUGCUCCACUUCUUUUCUAAUUUCACCUUUAGCAUCCUCUGUUCCUUGUAUUGUCUUAACUUUAUUGUCUUUUUUAUCUUAGCUCCUACGAGUUUGUUUUAGUUUCUAGCCCUAAUCAUCAUAGAGAUAUUAAAACAGACAUAUUUUGUCCUGAAUUGCAUAAUGUGUUUGUCCAAGAGAAAGGAAAAAUAUGUUCUACUCAAAGCAUGACUGCCCCUAUGAUAAGGAAAAAAGCAGCCUCUCCUUCUUGUUUAAGAGACAGAAGCAUCCAGUAGCUCACACCUAGGUAGGUCUGAAACAGCUCUGCAGGCGUCUCCAGCAUGCCAAAGAAUUUUGAGUGUUAUUGGAUAUUUACUAGUGGGUGGCUGUUGCAUACCUAGAUAUCUGUAGAUUGGGAAAUAUCAGGUACCUAUUCAAUCUGUAGUCAUCUACAUAAUAACACCUAAAUUUGUGUAAUUUGAAAGGUGAAUCCCAUCAUGAGAGACCCAACUCAAGAUAUUUAAGGCAAAUCUAUUUAAUAAUUUUCUUUACCUGGAUUCGUGACAUGAGGAUACAUAUUUGUGGGUUUUCAGUUGCUUACAGAAAGACAAAGGAUCCUCCAUUAGAUGUCCUUGUCUAGAAUCCCUUCUUCCUAUGGAAAUAAGAGUAUUUUUAAUAUAAACUUGUCUGAAUUUGAGUUAUAAUUAAAGAAACAAAUACAAUAUACUUUAUUUAGUAUUGGAAAUAGGGAGUUAUCCAUAAAAAUAAUGAAUUUAGGGACCUUUUUAGACACAUACAGGUAUUAUUUGAUGCUGAAAAUAAAAAUUAAUAUAUGCAAAGAAUGAAGACAUUUUAAAUACUUGAUUUUGGGUGACUGCAUUAUUCAUAGGAAACAAAUACUAAAACAAAAUAUGUCUUUAAUCCCAGUCACACUGAAGAUUUUAGGAUGAUGUGAUGAAAAUUCACUGGUGAGAAAAAAAAAAAAAA